rnacentral:rRNA from 1 species
GACGAACGCUGGCGGCGUGCUUAACACAUGCAAGUCGAACGCUGAAGCUUAGUUCUUUCACUGGGUGGAUGAGUGACGAACGGGUGAGUAAUACGUGAGUAACCUGCCCUUGACUCUUGAAUAAGCCUGGGAAACUGUGUCUAAGACUGGAUACGACAUGUCACCGCAUGGUGGUGUGUGGAAAGAGCUUUACUGGUUUUGGAUGGGCUCACGGCCUAUCAGCUUGUUGGUGGGGUAAUGGCUCACCUAGGCGACGACGGGUAGCCGGCCUGAGAGGGUGACCGGCCACACUGGGACUGAGACACGGCCCAGACUCCUACGGGAGGCAGCAGUGGGGAAUAUUGCACAAUGGGCGGAAGCCUGAUGCAGCGACGCCGCGUGAGGGAUGACGGCCUUCGGGUUGUAAACCUCUUUCAGUACGGAAGAAGCGAAAGUGACGGUACGUGCAGAAGAAGCGCCGGCUAACUACGUG